rnacentral:rRNA from 1 species
CGAGGGGCAUCGAGUGUAGCAAUACAUGUCGGCGACCGGCGAAAGGGUGAGUAACGCGUGAGCAACAUACCCGGUGACGGGGGAUAGGAGGUGGAAACGCCUUGUAAUACCCCAUAAGAUACGGAGCGGCAUCGUUCUGUAUUGAAAGAUUGAUUGUCAGCGGAUUGGUUCGCGUGCCAUUAGGUAGACGGCGGGGUAACGGCCCACCGUGCCGACGAUGGCUAGGGGUUCUGAGAGGAAGGUCCCCCACAUUGGAACUGAGACACGGUCCAGACUCCUACGGGAGGCAGCAGUGAGGAAUAUUGGUCAAUGGCCGAGAGGCUGAACCAGCCAUGCCGCGUGAAGGAUGAAGGCCCUAUGGGUCGUAAACUUCUUUUGUCGUGGAGCAAUAAGGGUCACGCGUGGCCCGAUGAGAGUACACGUCGAAUAAGCAUCGGCUAACUCCGUGCCAGCAGCCGCGGUAAUACGGAGGAUGCGAGCGUUAUCCGGAUUUAUUGGGUUUAAAGGGUGCGUAGGCGGUCGGGUAAGCGUAGGGUGAAAGUCCUCUGCUCAACAGAGGAAGUGCCUUCCGAACUGUCCGACUGGAAUGCUCCUGCCGUGGGAGGAAUGUGUGGUGUAGCGGUGAAAUGCAUAGAGAUCACACAGAACACCGAUUGCGAAGGCAUCUCACGAAGGGGCUAUUGACGCUGAGGCACGAAAAGCGUGGGGAUCAAACAGGAUUAGAUACCCUGGGUAGUCCACGCAGUAAACGAUGAUGACUAACCGUCGGUC